rnacentral:rRNA from 1 species
CAUGGAGGGUGAGAAUCCCGUUCGGUUGACCUUAUGACGCUCUACGAUACGCUCUCUAAGAGUCGAGUUGUUUGGGAUUGCAGCUCAAAAUGGGAGGUAAAUUUCUCCUAAGGCUAAAUAUCGGCGAGAGACCGAUAGCGAACAAGUACCGUGAGGGAAAGAUGAAAAGAACCUUGAAAAGAGAGUAAAAUAGUACGUGAAAUUGUUGAAAGGGAAACGAUUGAAGUCAGUCGUACCGACGAGAAAUCAACUUAUCGUGUGCGAACUUGUGGGCGUGCGUGAGUUUCGGCCUCGCUGUUUGCAUGUUUGUGCGCUUUGGGUGUACUUUUUCGUAUGGUAGGCCAACGUCAGUUUCGAUUAUCAUAAAAUGACCGGUGGAAUGUAGCUUCGAUUUCGGUUGAAGUGUUAUAGCCUCUGGUAGAUGUGGUGAUUUAGACUGAGGAUUGCAACGAAUACCCUUUGGGCUAUCCGUCUGGCCUCUGAAAGUUGCUCAGGUGCCGAAAGCGUGCUUACGGUCAUCUAAGAUAACGUUCAACAGGUUAGAACGUGAUUACAUUCGUUAAGGAUGUUGACGUAAUGG